rnacentral:rRNA from 1 species
CCUACGGGUGGCAGCAGUGAGGAAUAUUGGUCAAUGGCCGCGAGGCUGAACCAGCCAAGUAGCGUGAAGGAUGACUGCCCUACGGGUUGUAAACUUCUUUUAUCAAGGAGUAAAGUGAGGCACGUGUGCCUCAUUGAAUGUACUUGAUGAAAAAGCAUCGGCUAACUCCGUGCCAGCAGCCGCGGUAAUAAGGAGGAUCCGAGCGUUAUCCGGAUUUAUUUGGUUUAAAGGGGGCGUAGGCGGGAUGUUAAGUCAGUCGGUAAAUUUGGGGGCUUAACCCUAUAAUUGCAAUUGAAACUGGCUGCCUUGAGUACACUUGAGGUAUGCGGAAUGCGUGGUGUAGCGGUGAAAUGCAUAGAUAUCACGAAGAACUCCGAUUGCGAAGGCAGCAUACUAAAGCGCCACUGACGUUGAUGCACGAAAGCGUGGGUAUCGAACAGGAUUAGAUACCCUAGUAGUC